UUGACCUCGGAUCAGGUAGGGAUACCCGCUGAACUUAAGCAUAUCAUAUCUGCCGGCAACGGCUGGCCUUAAAAUCAGUGGCGGUGCCAUCGAGCUCUACGCGUAGUAAUUAAACCCUCGCGUGUGAGUCCCGGUGGACGCUUGCCAGCAACCCCCAAUU
rnacentral:rRNA from 1 species